GUCGAGAAUCUUUUGCAAUGCCCGAAAGGGUGACAAUGCGACGCCGCGUGUGCGAUGAAGGUCUUCGGAUUGUAAAGCACUGUCAGUCGGGAGGAAGACAGAGCCCCUAAUACGGGUUUCUGUUUGACAGUACCGGCAGAGGAAGCCACGGCUAACUCCGUGCCAGCAGCCGCGGUAAUACGGAGGUGGCAAGCGUUACUCGGAUUGAUUGGGUGUAAAGGGUGCGUAGGUGGUGGGCCAAGUCGAAUGUGAAAGCCCUCGGCUUAACCGAGGAACUGCAUUCGAUACUAGCUCGCUAGAGCGACGGAGAGGAAAGCGGAAUUCCCGGUGUAACGGUGAAAUGUGUAGAUAUCGGGAGGAACACCAGUGGCGAAGGCGGCUUUCUGGACGUCUGCUGACACUGAGGCACGAGAGCUAGGGGAGCAAACAGGAUUAGAUACCCCGGUAGUCC
rnacentral:rRNA from 1 species